rnacentral:rRNA from 1 species
CAUGGAGUUUGAUCCUGGCUCAGGAUGAACGCUAGCGGCAGGCCUAAUACAUGCAAGUCGAGGGGUAUAGUUCUUCGGAGCUAGAGACCGGCGCACGGGUGCGUAACGCGUAUGCAAUCUACCUUUUACAGAGGGAUAGCCCAGAGAAAUUUGGAUUAAUACCUCAUAGUAUGUGAGAAUCGCAUGGUUUUCACAUUAAAGUCACAACGGUAAAGAUGAGCAUGCGUCCCAUUAGUUAGUUGGUGAGGUAAAGGCUCACCAAGCCAACGAUCUGUAGCUGGUCUGAGAGGACGACCAGCCACACUGGAACUGAGACACGGGUCCAGACUCCUACGGGAGGCAGCAGUGGGGGAAUUUGGACAAUGGACGCAAGUCUGAUCCAGCCAUUCCGCGUGC